AUUGAACGCUGGCGGCAGGCCUAACACAUGCAAGUCGCACGAGUGGCGGACGGGUGAGUAAUGUCUGGGAAACUGCAUGAUGGAGGGGGAUAAAUACUGGAAACGGUAGCUAAUACCGCAUACCAUCGGAUGUCCCCAGAUGGGAUUAGCUAGUAGGGGGGGUAACGGCUCACCUAGGCGACGAUCCCUAGCUGGUCUGAGAGGAUGACCAGCCACACGGAAACUGAGACACGGUCCAAACUCCGACGGGAGGCAGCAGUGGGGAAUAUUGCACAAUGGGCGCAAGCCUGAUGCAGCCAUGCCGCGUGUAUGAAGAAGGCCUUCGGGUUGUAAAGUACUUUCAGCGGGGAGGCGUUACCCGCAGAAGAAGCACCGGCUAACUCCGUGCCAGCAGCCGCGGUAAUUC
rnacentral:rRNA from 1 species